GCUUAACGCGAAGAACCUUACCUGGCCUUGACAUCCAUGGAAUCCCGAAGAGAUAUGGGAGUGCCGCAAGGAACCAUGAGACAGGUGCUGCAUGGCUGUCGUCAGCUCGUGUCGUGAGAUGUUGGGUUAAGUCCCGCAACGAGCGCAACCCUUGUCCUUAGUUGCCAUCAUUAAGUUGGGAACUCUAAGGAGACCGCCGGUGACAAACCGGAGGAAGGUGGGGAUGACGUCAAGUCAUCAUGGCCUUUAUGGCCAGGGCUACACACGUGCUACAAUGGCAAGUACAGAGGGAAGCCAACCGGGCGACGGGGUAGCUAAUCCCAGAAAACUUGUCUUAGUCCGGAUUGCAGUCUGCAACUCGACUGCAUGAAGUUGGAAUCGCUAGUAAUCGCAGAUCAGCAUUGCUGCGGUGAGUACGUUCCCGGGU
rnacentral:rRNA from 1 species